rnacentral:rRNA from 1 species
GACGAGCUCUCCAAACGUUAUUCGGAAUCACUGGGCUUAAAGAGUUCGUAGGCGGCUCAGCAGGUCAGGUGUGAAAUCCCACAGCUCAACUGUGGAACUGCGCUUGAAACCGCUGGGCUUGAGGGAGACAGAGGUAAGCGGAACAGAUGGUGGAGCGGUGAAAUGCGUUGAUAUCAUCUGGAACACCGGUGGCGAAAGCGGCUUACUGGGUCUCUUCUGACGCUGAGGAACGAAAGCUAGGGUAGCAAACGGGAUUAGAUACCCCGGUAGUCCUAGCCGUAAACGAUGAGCACUAGUCUGUGGGGACCCUCACAUCCUCUCGGACGUAGCGAAAGUGUUAAGUGCUCCGCCUGGGGAGUAUGGUCGCAAGGCUGAA